rnacentral:tRNA from 1 species
CGGGGUGUAGCUCAGGUGGUAGAGUGCUUGCUUGGGGUGCAAGAGGUCGCUAGUUCAAGUCUAGUCACUCCGACCA